CUACUAUGGAUGCUUGGUCACCCUUCAUAUGUUCAUCACAUAAAACUGAUAUCAGUUAAUGAAAGAAUGCUAUCAAAAAGGGUGGGCUUUGGGUUUAUGGGCCUCUACUCUACCACUCCUCAUCCAACUCCAACUCCACUUACAUCUAUCUCGAACUCGAACGGACCCAGGAAUCCUCGUUUAAAUAAGAAAUAGAGAAGGAGAUAGGUGAGAUUUUUUCUCGUUAGUUAAAUGGGUCUCGUAGACAUAUCUUGUCCAUACAUACAUCUCUGUGAGUUAGAAUUAGAAAUGUUCAUUUAACUCCAAAAUUGAAAUUUCACGUAAACCUAUCUCGAAUAGAGCAAGGAAUCUUCGUUUAAACAAGAAAUAGAGAAGUGGGGUAGGAGAGAUGGGCCUCAAGGAAUCUUCAUGGGCCUCGUGGACAUCUCUUGUCCGUACACACAUCCCCAUAGGUUAAAAGUAGAAAUGCACAUUUUAACUCAAAGUUGAAAUUUUACAUAAACCUAUCUUGAAUGGAGCAAGAAAUCUUCGUUUAAACAAGAAAUAGAGAAGGGGGUAUGAAAGAUUUUCCCCCAUUAGCUAAAUAGAUCUCGUGGGCAUCUCCUAUCCACACACACAUCCCUCUCGGUUAGAAGUAGAAAUGUCUAUUUAACCCCAAAGUUUGAAUUUCACGUAAACUUAUCUCAAACAGAGCAAGAAAACUUCGUUUAAACAAGAAUUAGAAAAGGGGUCGGAGAAAUUUUCCCGAUUAGCUAAAUGGGCACUAAACAUCUCUCAUCCAUACACACACU